rnacentral:lncRNA from 1 species
CCGCGGAGGAGGUACCUGUUUCUUUCAUUGUUCAACUGAAAAAUAAUUUUUCUUCUCCGAUGAGGCUUGCCAUUGGCAAGAUAGAAACAAGGGAAGGCAUGCCACAGUUGUCAAGCCGUGUGUGAAUUACAACGAAGAGGUUGGUCAUUUCCAGGACACUUGAAUUGCAUAUGUUCCUUAUUUCUAUUUGCACUAAGACUUUGUUCCUUCUUUUCUAUUUGCACUAAGACUUUUUUUUAUUUCCAAUUUUUCAACACCCUGCAUAUAUAUAAAUGUGAAUGGAAUAGUAUCACUAUAAACAAGAGCUCCGAGUUUCCCAACAAGCAGCACCGUAGAAUCUAACUCGGCCUGAUGUCUCAGUCAAGGAAUUCUUCCAGAUUUCCACACUUUCCAGUAACCCCUAAAAUAAUGCAUCGUGA